UCUAUAUCCUCUCUGCUCAAACACCCCACUUUCCUUCUAUUCAUGGGAUGACUGAGGUUCCUUCUCCCUCAGGAUGGAAAUUAUCUGGUUCCACCCCUGGAUAUGAUCAACCUUCAUAGACUGUGCAUUAUACAUGUAGCCAUCUCUGCGACCUGCAAAGAUGAAAAGGGAAAGCAGGAGAUGGAAACUGGUCAGCAGCCUUCUGGUUUAUCAGCCACACUUACAAAGGUCAAAUGUGCAAAGCGUCAGAAGACAGUGGUUAGAGUGAGAUUCUACAUGCUCUCAAUGAAGAAUAAAGCAUGCAGGAAGAACCUUUCAAAAGGUUACAACCAGAGACCUGAAGGAAGCAAGGAAGAAAGCCACAUGGUUGUCAAAGAGAAGAGGAAAGGAGAUCACUAAGCUGGAUGACGUUUUCUGUUUCUUUGAAAACAGAGAAGAUGACAAGUUAGGGAGAGAUCAGAGGUCAUACUGUGAAGCACCUUUGGAUAAACGGCAGGGACUUUGGAUUUUCUUUUUGAAUAUAAGCAUAAUCCAUUGAAAGGUCUCAUGCAGGGAAGUGGCAAAACACUUUUAAAAUUUUUCAUCUUUUCUUUCUGAAGCAGAGUUCACUCUCCAUUUAUUUGUCUUCUUUGAUAUCUCUCAAUAGAAUGUUGCAGUUUUAGUAUUCUCCUAUUAAACAUUUGUUUAACUUUCUUGUUCUUCUAAAUAAUAAUUUAUUCUCCUUAUUUUCAUCAUUAGUGUCCCUGAAAUGCCAGAGUUUCAGACUAGGUCUACUACUCACCACACAAAAAGCCAAUCACUGAGACACAAGUAUUGACAAGUAAGAAGGCUUUAAUCAGGUGCUGCAGCCUAGUUGAUGAGAGAUUAGUCUCAAAUCCACCUCCCUGAUGGACUAAAAUCAGGGGAUUAUGUAGUAGAGAAGAAAUGUAACUACAUGUGAGGAAAUAGGAAUCAGGGAGGGAUAAGCAAGAGGAGUUGGUCAGAAAGACACGGGUGGUCAGUUAGGCCACCAUGAUGGGUGAG
rnacentral:lncRNA from 10 species